rnacentral:rRNA from 1 species
UUUCGAAUCAUUCACAAUGGGCGAAAGCCUGAUGGUGCAAUGCCGCGUGGGGGAUGAAGGUCUUCGGAUCGUAAACCCCUGUCACCAAGGACUAAAAAACGGUGAAGAGCCGUCUUGAAUUAACUUGGAGAGGAAGCAGUGGCUAACUCCGUGCCAGCAGCCGCGGUAAUACGGAGACUGCAAGCGUUACUCGGAUUUACUGGGCGUAAAGGGUGCGCAGGCGGCCAGGUAUGUCAGAGGUGAAAUCCCACAGCUCAACUGUGGAACUGCCUUUGAAACUACCUGGCUAGAGUAUUGGAGAGGUAAGCGGAAUUCCUAGUGUAGCGGUGAAAUGCGUAGAUAUUAGGAGGAACACCAAAGGCGAAGGCAGCUUACUGGACAAUUACUGACGCUCAUGCACGAAAGCGUGGGGAGCAAAAGGGAUUAGAUACCCCUGUAGUCCACGCCGUAAACGUUGUAUACUCGGUCUUGGGGGAUUCGACCCCUUCAGGGCCUAAGCUAACGCGAUAAGUAUACCGCCUGAGGACUACGACCGCAAGGUUA